UCGCUUUGCGCUAUUUCCGGAAGGUUUUCUCCCACCCUCGAGUCCUCUCUGGAGCACAAGUUCUGUUCCUAAAGCAGACAAGGAGUGAGUGUAACCUCCAGGUGUGUGCACAGGGUAAGUUUGGGAAGGUCAGUGGCUCCUGUCCCUGGGAAGGGACAGAGGAAGGGACAGCACCUGAGUAGCCUC
rnacentral:lncRNA from 1 species